GUCAGCCAGCUGACCCACAUGCGUUGCGGAGGCGCUGACCACCCCGCUUCGCUGGCUGGUGGGGGGUCACGUGAGGACCUCGGGGUCACGUGAGGUCCUCGGGCGCCGCAGGGAGGGCGGCAUCCAAGUCUUUCCGCGCGUGCGCGAGCGUCCGCUGUCACUCAGGGCCGGGACCAGGCAGCCAAGAAACGCGGAGACAGACUACUGGGACUGCGACGUCUCCUCUCCUGUUCGCUGCGAUAUGCCGGCGUCGUGUUGAGCGGGCUGCGGACACAGACAGCCUGCCCGGCCCCACUGAGUGUUUGAUCCCCAUCCUCGCAGCUCUCUAGAGGACCAGAGUUGGCGGUGCAGCCCAGCGGAGCUUCGAAGCGACAUGUCCUCCAACAUUUUAGCCCAGCAAGUCUUGUGGCCCCUGAGGAUAUAACCCAGAGAGGGCUGCUUUCUGGGAUUUCUCGGCUGUGGUUCAAGUGGAGUACACACAGUUGAGACCCUGUCUGCCCUGGGCAGCUUUCUUGACCCUUGGGGGACCAGCUCACAAUAAAUCCUAGGCUUCUGUUGCUCCUUGCUGCCUAUCCAUAAGCAAUAAAC
rnacentral:lncRNA from 10 species